GACGAACGCUGGCGGCGUGCUUAACACAUGCAAGUCGAACGAAGUGGCGAACGGGGGAGUAAUACGUGGGUUACCUGCCCUCCUUUGUGGGAUAAGCCUUGGAAACGGGGUCUAAUACCGAAUAAAGGGGGAUGGGCUCGCGGCCUACCUGCUUGUUGGGGGGGCGAUGGCCUACCAAGGAGGUGACGGGUAGCGGGACUGAGAGGGGGACCAGGCACAGUGAGACUGAGAUACGGCCCAGAUGCCAACGGGAGGAAUCAGGGGGGUAUAUUGCAUAAUGGGCAAAAGCCUUAGGCAGCGACGCCGCGUGGGGGAUGAAGGCUUUCGGGUUGUAAACCUCUUGCGCUAACGAACGGGUAGGUGGAGAAGAAGCGCCGGCUAACUACGUGCCAGCAGCCGCGGUAAUAC
rnacentral:rRNA from 1 species